UAGGGAAUCUUCGGCAAUGGGGGGAACCCUGACCGAGCAACGCCGCGUGAGUGAAGAAGGUUUUCGGAUCGUAAAGCUCUUUUGUUAAGGAAGAACGAGUGUGAGAAUGGAAAGUUCAUACUGUGACGGUAUUUAACCAGAAAGGGACGGCUAACUACGUGCCAGCAGCCGCGGUAAUACGUAGGUCCCGAGCGUUGUCCGGAUUUAUUGGGCGUAAAGCGAGCGCAGGCGGUUAGAUAAGUCUGAAGUUAAAGGCAGUGGCUCAACCAGUGAAGGCUUUGGAAACUGUUUAACUUGAGUGCAGAAGGGGGGGAUGGAAUUCCAUGUGUAGCGGUGAAAUGCGUAGAAAUGUGGAGGAACACCAGUGGCGAAGGCGACUCUCUGGGCUGUAACUGACGCUGAGGCUCGAAAGCGUGGGUAGCAAACAGG
rnacentral:rRNA from 1 species